rnacentral:rRNA from 1 species
CCUACGGGAUGCAGCAGUGAGGAAUAUUGGUCAAUGGCCGGAAGGCUGAACCAGCCAAGCCGCGUGAAGGACGAAGGUGCCAAGCAUUGUAAACUUCUUUUGUCAAGGGACAAAAUCAGGCUCGAGAGCCUGACCGAGUGUACUUGACGAAAAAGCAUCGGCUAACUCCGUGCCAGCAGCCGCGGUACUGCGGUGGAUGCGAGCGUUAUCCGGAUUUAUUUGGUUUAAAGGGUGCGUAGGCGGGCUGUUAAGUCAGCUGUACAAGCCCGGGGCUCAACCCCGGCGAGGCGUUGGAACUGGCAGUCUUGAGAUGACGGGAGGUAUGCGGAAUGCGCAGUGUAGCGGUGAAAUGCUUAG